rnacentral:lncRNA from 1 species
CUAGUUUAUUUGCAAUGUCCAACCAGGCUACUCCUUCUCAAGUCUUCAGACACACAGCCCUCUCUGCUGUGAAACCCUCUCCUCACCUCCGAGACCCGCUCAUUAUUGUCUGCUGAAUUCUACUCAUUCUUCAGGGCUGACAUACAGACAACCCGCUGGGAAGCCUCCGCCAACCAUUUCUGAAAAAUUAGUCCCUCUUACCAUAGCACUUACCUACUCCCCCGCUUCUAUUCUAUUCUCUUCACCCAGCCUUUCUAGAUAGCCAAGUAUGUGCCAGUGUCCUGGACUAAGGUUGGAGCAGGUCGUCAGGAAAAGCAGCAGAGGAGGAACACCAUUUCAGUAGGAUCCUGAACGAUGACUAGAGACUCACUCGGUGAAUGAGAAAGGGCAGGACACGCCCAGGACACGCCCGGGAGGAAGCAGCAAGAGGACAGGCUUGGAGAUGGUAAUUCUUUGAAGACACGUUGCUUUUUUACUUCCUUAAGUUGAAGCCAUAGAACUUAAUUUUUUCUUGGAAGACACAAGCUCAUGGAUACCCACUGCAGCACAAGGAGGUGGCAUGGUAAAACAGAAUGACAUCAUGACGUAGGAGUCAGACAGACCAUGGGAAAAUUCUGGAACUGCC